ACUUAGAAACACUGAAGUCCCAAGGACUUCAUAGUGAAGAUGUCCUUGGGACAAUUGGGCCUUUCAAAAUCUUUUUGGGUAGUUUGGAGGCCCUUUUAGGCCCAUUUGAACUUCCAGAUGAGGUAAUGGAUGCCUUAUUUUACAUCAUGAGCAGGAGCCAGCCUGGGACAGAGGCAAUUAA